CCUACGGGAGGCUGCAGUGGGGAAUAUUGGACAAUGGGGGGAACCCCGAUCCAGCCAUGCCGCGUGUGUGAAGAAGGCCCUCGGGUUGUAAAGCACUUUCAGUGAGGAAGAACGCCUGGUGGUUAAUACCCAUCAGGAAAGACAUCACUCACAGAAGAAGCACCGGCUAACUCCGUGCCAGCAGCCGCGGUAAUACGGAGGGUGCGAGCGUUAAUCGGAAUUACUGGGCGUAAAGCGCGCGUAGGUGGCUUGAUAAGCCGGUUGUGAAAGCCCCGGGCUCAACCUGGGAACGGCAUCCGGAACUGUCAAGCUAGAGUGCAGGAGAGGAAGGUAGAAUUCCCGGUGUAGCGGUGAAAUGCGUAGAGAUCGGGAGGAAUACCAGUGGCGAAGGCGGCCUUCUGGACUGACACUGACACUGAGGUGCGAAAGCGUGGGUAGCAAACAGGAUUAGAUACCCCUGUAGUC
rnacentral:rRNA from 1 species